UGUGAUCAUAUAAUAUGAGUCCAAUAAAAAGGUGUAAUGUAGCACUUGGACAGUAAAUCAUUUUGUUUUGCUGUUUCAUCAUCGAUGUUACAGCAUCGUGCAAAGGAAAAUGAGGAGUGCUUAACUGCUAAGUGUUUCACACCUAUAUUUGGGCAAAAUGGCCCUUUGAGGGAAACCGUGACUGCGAUGUGGACCGUGACAAAAAUUUGUUUUGACGCCCCUGAUACUGAAGGUGAUGCACUCCACUCUGACUGAAAUGUGUGACUAAAAUCUGCAUUCAUUCUGGUUUUGACUGGGACAGAAAAUACUGGAAUAUAUUUUCUGUCAAUACUAUGCAUGCACAGUAAAUAAUAUAUAUAAUAAUAUACUCCUACUCCUAUCUAAUCUUCUCAGUGUCCAACUUCUUCUCUUUGCUUGUAUGAUUUAUGUACUUUGAAGUUCCACCACCAAAUCUUCUGUUCCCUUUUCCUCCCAGAAGAUACAUCAAGUACUCUCUCAACAACUUAGAGGUCAUGGUCCAGUAUUCUGGAACCUCCUCCUGUCCACUGAGAGCCUGUCUCACCUCUUCCCGAAAAGCCGCAAAGUGCGCUUUCCUUCCUUUCCCAACCUCCACCACAUGGUUUUCUGCUCUGGCGUUAAACCCUACUCCACAUUUGUUCUGAUCCACACCAUGGUAAAAUAAUUUCAACCCUGCCCCUAAACUUCUUUCCUUACUACCUUUCCACCUGCUCUCUUGGAAACAAUUUAUCAACCUUUCUCCUUAUCAUUAUGUCAAACAAUUCCCAAGCUUUUCCCGUCAUAGUCCCAAUAAUCAAAGUCCCCAAGUUCAGUUCUGGACUCUGUGAUUUCCUCUUCUCUUUCUGCCUUAGAACCACUUUCAAGGUCUCCUCCAUUUCCCUCCACAGUACCUGAAUUUCCACCGAUGCCGUGUAGGUUAACGGAGGCAAUGGCGGAUGUUGUUAACUCAGACCACGACCAAUCCACUAUGAAAUUCUUUGGAUGAAUGCUCUUAUUCUUUGGCAAAAGUUUGUUCUUGACGCAACCCUGUGCAUUUACCUAGGCUCAGUACCAGCUUAAAGUUUUCACUGGAUUGAACACCCCUUAAGGCAGGGUCCAUGUAUUUAUAUUAUAUAUGUUGUGUAUUUCACGCAAGUCAAUUUGUAAGUACAUUGAAAGAAGAUUAUUGUUAUUUCACCAUUCAUACUUUGUUGUGAAUUUUGGUUUCUGGUGGUGUGCCAUGGGAUUUUCUAAUCUCUAAAGCUCAUCCAUGGUUUUAUCUCAAGUAGACUUGACUACUGUAAUGGUCUUCUGACUGGACUCCCCAAAAAGAGUAUUAAACAACUGGAGCUCAUUCCAGCAUUCUGAAUGCUCGCGUUCUGACCAAAACAAAGCCGUCAGAGCAUAUAACGCCAAUCCUAAAGUCCUUGCACUGGCUUCCAGUCAUCUUUAGAAUAGAUUUUAAAGUUCUGCUACUGGUCUAUAAAUCACUAAAUAAGGAUUUAAGUCCUGAAUCCAUGAAAGAAAUGCUAACGGAAUACAAACCCAGUAGAGCUCUGAGAUGGACUGAAUCAGGUCAAAUAGUGGAGCGCAGAGUCCAAAGCAAACAUGGUGAAGCAGCAUUUAGCUAUUAUGCUGCUUCACAAAUGAAAGAAGUUGCUAAAAGAAGCAAUUUCAGCCCCAAAUGUGAAUGUUUUUAAGUCCAGGUUGAAAACUUUUCUUUUUUCUCAUGCUUUUUAGAAUAUGUCCACUUUUUGAUCAUAUUACUUGCAUUGUAUGCGGUUUUAAUUGUCUUUUUUUAUAUUUUGUCAUUUUUAAUGUUUUUAUCCUGUUUAAAUGUUUUAUCUCAUUGUUUUCAAAUGCCUUUAAUCACGUAAAGCACAUUGAGUUACCUCGUUUAUUAAAUGUGCUAUACAAAUAAAUGUGCUUUGCUUUGCUUUGCUUAAUGUGA